UUACAAGCAUUAUUAAUUCAUUUGUCUCCUACUACGCUCUUGGUUUUCAUACUUCAUUUUCCUUUUUUGUUGCUCAGCUUCCUUUCAUUUUCUUCCGCCUCCUUCUCCUCAUCCCUCCCUUUCUUUCUUUAGUCACUCCUGCACAUGUGAUUGGUGUGAGGGAUCAUCUAGGCUUCAGCAUGGAUGGAUGCAUGGGUCAAUAUCUAUCUAAAGAGGAUUGGAGCUCAAAUGAGGGCUGGACUACCUGAGAAAGCAGCCAAGGGAGAAGAUGCUGAAAGCUAAGUGAAGCACAAAGCUCUGAAACACAGGCAGCGGCAAUUUGCAACUUGUGAAUUUUGCCCGGCAGCCAAAUUACAGUUAUGUAUUGAUUUUUCUUUUUUUACCCUUUCCUCCAAUUUCUGUCGUGCCCUCUUGCCAUAAUAUUUUCUUUAUAGUAAUUUCUUUUCAUUAUUCUCUUUUCUCUUUAGCUGUUCUUCAUGUGCCUGACAUAAAUGUGUGCACAAGCACUCUACAGAGUUAGGACUUCUUGCUUUAUCCUCCCACUGAUCCAGAUAACACAUACUGUAAUGCUGUUGACAACACAAUGACAACGGAUGUCCCUUUUUGAGAUUCAGAGGUCUAUUUUGAGAUUUAUAAGCAAUUUAAACCCAUCUGCUCCUCCUUACCAAACUAUAUUAGAACAGUGAAAAGUGUCAUAUUAAGUGUGAUUGGUAACUUGCUUUAAUCAAUGUGCAAUUAGAAGUGUUGGAGAAACUGCAACAGAGUUAGUAACUCGCUUAUUGCUAUGCUUAUUGAUGUGCACCACUGUAUGUUAGUUACAUGCAACUAAAUAUAACUUGGUAUCUCACAGUUCAUAUUUCCAUACAUGCACAUACACAUAUAAUGCACAUACACAUCUAAUAUAGCAAAAGUAGUAACAUUUUAAUUAAAAAAAAUACCCUUAUGUUUAAUAAGAAGAGAAGAAAAGUGAUAUUCAACAGGGCUUUAGUUAAAGAUUAUUGACACUCAGGUCAUGUCUGUGUUGUUUUUUGGCAAUAGUUUGUCAUUUUGGGAAAUACGCUUAUUUGCUUCUUUACUGGAGUGUAAAAAUUAUAAUUUGGGAUUAUGGGAGUUAUGUGCUGGACUAUUUCUUGGCCGGAAGCAGUGAUUUCCUUCUGUGGAGACUCCAGGAAGUCACUGCUCCAAGAAAUUGUCUGGCACAUAACUCCCAGUAGAACCAUAACUGUUUUACACUUUGUUAUUUUGUAAAGAUUAAACAAAUUAGAUAUAACCUGUUAAGUGAGAUUUUGAGGUGUUAGUAGGCAACCAGGUUUUCUGUUUUGCAGUCUUUAUCUCCAGUCUUUGAGCUAGCCAGCAGCUUGUUUCGUAUUCGUCUUUCCAAACUUGUCAAACUUGUCAAACUCUUCAGCAGUCAGUACUUUUUCACCAGAGUUCGAUUGGUAACAGUGUGGAAAAUGUCUUUUUUAAAACAGCAUUUAGACCAGAAUUUGGACUAUUUCUAAAAUGCUGGCUAUGUCUUUGAUAUUCAAAAGGGACAAUUAUGAUGAUGACAUGAAAUAUUAGACAAAUAUGGAAAUCAAAGCCACUUGGUGCUAUUUUCUAUUUUCUGUAAAGAAGUACUGUAUGUCAUUACAAAGCCAAAAACAAAGCUCACUACACUAUGAUUAAUAUAUAGUAUUCCUCAAUAAUGCAAUUGAAACAGCUGAGUGUCUCUGGAAGAACUCUUUAAAUAAUUUCUUGGAAAUUUCCCAGCAACACACUCCAACUAAUGUUGACCCAUGGUGCUUAAAGCAGGCAAAUAUAAAUAAAUAAUGCAAAGAAUAAAAAAGGAGAUCCCACAUAAAUCAAGCAAAGUGCUUAAUUAUAUAAUUAAUCAUGCAUUGCGCAGUGCAAAACACUAAAAUAGAAUUGAUUACAAUGCUAAGUGUCUGUAAUUGAUUCAUAUAAGUGGACACAGAUAAUUAUCACCAACCCAAUUAAAAGAGAGGCAAACAAGUGAUCUCAUGGAGGAGCAAUACUUUCUGUCUCAUUUCAAGAGUCCAAAUAAUUUAUGAGCAUAGUUAUUACUCUUGUGGCUCUCAGUGAAGAGAAGUCCACCAGAGGGAUAAAGCAUGGUAAACCCAGGGGCCGCUUUAUGAAAAAAUACAGGGCAGGGCAACGCUUGUUCAGACAUGGCUGACAUGGUUUUGAUCACAUGGCCGUAUGUUUCUCCUCUAUACUUUACUAAGCCCAGGGUGCUCUGGGAAUAUGCAACUGUGGCAGGUGAAUCAGCGCAAGCAUUUGUUUGCUUCACGGAAGCAGGAAGGAGAGCUUGACGGACUGCUCAGCAUGCAGACCAAAGGCUGUGGAGAAACAUUUAUUUAUUCCGUCCAGGAGGAGGCUCGAUCCCAGGAGGAGGCCCAGUCCCUCCAAGAGUGCGCACUGUUCAGUGCUGUUUGUGUGUUACUGCAUACUGUUGUGUCAACGUGAAUGAUGAGCACCGAGAGACUUGUUGUCCUUUCAGCGUGCCUGACAUCUGACUUCACUACAGGACCCCCCAUUCAGCUCGGACCCACCCUCAGCACUGCGACUCCGGGCAGAUUAAUCGGCAUAACAACGGACACAAGCGGUUCCCAACACCUCCUGUUGGACAUAAGUUAAGGAGAUGACAUCAUGUCGAGUUAUUAAUGCUGACAUUAGUGGAGGCAGGAAAGGGAUCAACAUGACACUUCUGGUGGAGGAUAGAGCCCAGACCCUUGCGCCACAGGUAGGGAUGGGAAAUGUCACUUUAGCACCAAGUAUGCUAAUUAUGUCACUUAAUUAAUGGUUUUCAUUGCUUAACAUUUUUUGGAUGGCAGCCAACGGGAGAUGUAACAAGGAUCCUCAUGCAGGGUUAUGGAAUGCCAUCCCCCAGUGCUUUAAUCCAUUGUACAAUGCACCUGGGUAUGUUGUGUGUUUGUUUGUGUGAGUGUGUGUGUGUGUGUUGAUGGCCUGUAAUACCUAAACAGGUGGGCAUUGGUGGUUAGCAGCUGACAGACUGGAGCUUCAAUAACCGCACAAGCACAUGCCACGGUGUUUGAGAUGUUAAUACACAAGUCAUGUGGAGAGGGAGCUUCCCUUAUUACAGUGGAAAGGAACUUCAAGCUUGUAAUAUAUUCCAUUUUCUGUACAGAGGGGCACCACUGUCCACAUACUUGCCUGUGCACUUAUCUAGAAGAUUAAAAAGUGUAUCCAUUCGGCUGAUACCAGAAUAUUUUCCCUGAGAACUUGAUUUUGAACAAUGCAAACAUAACUAGACACUCAUAGCGCUCACUACAAUGUUAUUGUUUAGAUCGAAAUUUUAAAAAAGGAGCACUCCGAUAGUUCACUGAAGUCAGUAGGAUGUAUCCUCUGGUGACAAUUAGUGUCUGUUCAUUGCAAUCCAUCCACUAGCUGUUGAGAUAUUCCAGUCUGAACCAAAGUGGUGGGCCAACCAACUGGCCUUCUAAUGUGGCUAAAAAUACUCUAUUUUCAAAGGUACAGUGAUGUUGCUACUGCACAGCAAUGUAAUAUCUUAAAAGAGCUCCUGUAUAGGAAAUCCACCCAUGUACAAUGGGUAUGUAAUAUUUGUCGCCUACGACCAUACAAAGAGAUAAAUAGAAUUACAUUCAUCUUUGGUAAGCACUGUCUGAACUGCAGUUUGUGUGAUAGUUGUAUACGCUUACAACUUUUCUACUAGGCUGGUUUCUGCCACGUCAGUGGCAGUCUGAGACUCUCAUCUCCACAAAUCAAAAGUAAUGAAAUGCAAUGUCAAGCCUGUAGUCAGCUCCAUGAAUCACAAAUAAAGUAUUAAUACAAGAGUAAUUAACUUUCUAAUUGGAGAUUUUGCUGGCAUUGGAGUGUCCUGUGCAACACCUCCUCCCUCUGUCGAGACUUAGCAUAGCUUCAAAGAUACAGACUCUUUCUGGCCCUAAUGUUGUUACUUUUCUUUUGAUGCAACAACUAUGCUUUGUUCUCUAACUUCUACAAAAUGUCUGAUCUUUAUGAACCACAUUGAGUGUUGUUUAUUUGAACAAGCACUCUGAAUGCAAAUCAGAGUUCUUCCUGUGAACCGAAAGACAUGUCAACCUCUGCCAAGAUUCUUCAAAAUAAUAUCACAGUACAGUGCCAGCAAAGACCUGCCACUGCUGUUUGACAUUUUCUGGAAGGGAUGCAGUUUUCUGUGCCUCACAGACUCAUGUUUGACAGAAUGUAAACCAGCCAACCGAAUCGGGCCACAUGGGCUCCAUCUGAAAGGUCAGGAACUCCUCGCAGCAACCGCCCAAUCAGAGCUGAGAUACAGCUGUCAUGAUUGGAGGAAAUGGAGGCGUGGAAUUGUGUAGCCAUGGGGCAACACUUAGCAGAGCGGUGCAAUUACAGCACCAACACAGUGAGACAGUUUGAAAGCUAAUUCAGCCCUCUGGACAACACAGGGUAAACCUACUAACCUUUUAUUGUUGAACAUAAAGAAGAAUUCUUAUCUGUGACUAGUGAACUUUGAGCAUUUGUCAUGAUAUGUUUGUUUUAUAUAUAUGGUACAUUUGUAACAUUUUGCACCAUCCGUGUGUUGACAUCACAUGCAUUCUAAUAACAAACUGAUUUUUUCCAAUCAGUCAGUUUUGAUUGGUUUUGUGAAUAAACAGAAAAGCCCCUCCUUCUCUCUGUCUGUCUUCGCUGACAACGUGCCACCCUAACAGAACAACACAAUUAAGGGUCACUUCUCAUUUGUCUGUGUCCAAGAGGGGACAUGGAGACACACACAGUUUGGUUAUUAGCAUCUGCCUUGAACAAACUGUCCCAUGUGCUGUCACUAAUAAUCCAUGGUCAUAAUCAAAGGUUUUGAUUCUUUAUAUCACAACUCCUUUUAGUUUGUCUACCUGUGUCACAGUAACAAGUGUCCUUGACAUCACACCAAUCUAGAGUGCUAAAAUAUAAUAUUAUAUUGCUUUUAUAUACCCAUACUGAAAAAAUAAA